rnacentral:lncRNA from 1 species
UGGCCUCUCUGUUUGCUAUGUUUUCUUCAAGAAUAUGUGUAUAUUCUGGGCUCUCCGUGCAAUUAUUUUUCUCCACUUCAUUAUUGUUCGGUAUUUCACUUGAUUCGUCAUCUCUGGGUAGCUGAAACACAUGGUAGUAUAAUAUUAUAACGGAUAGAAUAUCUUUUUGAUAUGAUAUUGUACUAAAAAAAUUACAAAGUGCUCUGUGGCGUUAGAAUUAAAAUAGUAAUGACAUGUGGAAAGAAAACUUGCCUCCGUGGACUCGGGAUAUGUAUCCUCCUGUACGGUCUUCACCUCAUCAAUAUGCAUAUUCUCUGUAUCCUCCAUAGUAGAGUCUUCUUGUAUCACCUGUGCCGACUCAUAGUUUGUAUCCUCGUCUUUCUUUAUCACCUUUUCAACCUGCAUAUUAUCUAUAUCCUCAUCCUUUGCUACCUUGUUGAUGUCAUCCUAAAAACCCAAGUAUGACACUUUUAGAUAGGAGGAAACCUUGCAUAGAAAGAACAGAGAUAUAAUGUGUCUUUACCAUUUCGAUAGCAUGGACAGUAGUACCGGAUCUGGAUGGAGAUUGACUCGCAUGUGGCACCGGUGACGGAGGCGCAGACAUGGAUGAAGACGGUGCUUCACCAAGGGCAGAUGUGUGCGGCUCAGUGGAGAGACUUGUUGUGGAGGUAUGUUGGGAUGCGGCUGAGAGAUCACGAGGGAGGAUGGAGGAGAGGUGAAAGUAAUGGUAUCAGGCAAUAUAAGGCAGAAUCGUGAGAGAAAGGAAACUACUAUCGCGAUAAUUGGGGACUCCUGAUUGCUAUCAUCCCCGGAUUUAUCUGAGGCCCCAGAAUCUUAUCUUGUGCUUUUUUAUACUCACACAAAAUAUUGGAGUUAUUUUCGUGGUACAAUUUAUAUGCAUAAAUAGUGGGUUUGGCCCACCUUCCUUCUGUAACUGUGGGCUUAAUUCAGAAAAGGCACACCCUUUUAAUAUUUGAGAAACUAAUUUUUUCUGUUUGAUUUGAAAUUCAGCUGAUGUAUGGUGGUUGCCUUCUUGUACAUGAGCUUACGACUGCGGGAGAUCACGACUUGUUCUUUUGAUUUUUUUGGUUCAUCACAUGAUCCAUCAAGCCAGCCAAGGCGGAGAUCAGUGAAGAGGUGAAGUAGAAAAUGGAAUCGGAAUAGGAGGCAUAUCUUCAACUGGUUUGAUGCAUGUUGGAAGAGGUAUUCUCGCCCACUGUGGUUAUCCACCAGUUUAGUCUGUUACAUGACUUAUAUUCUUUUAUUUAUGAAUACUGUACGCUAUAUUCUUUUGAAUUUUUUUUCUGAAAAAAGAAAGCAUGUGAGCUCGUGUGCUAUAGAUCCAGGAACGUCCUAUUGGCAACAUAGUAGUAAUAACGCCUUUUAACUUCAAUAUAUUCCAGGAAUCUCAAGUCUUUUGCAGUUUUCGUUACAAAUAUAUCAUAGAGCAUCUCACUUAGGCAUUCAAGAACAUGUUUAACAGAACAUAAUUUCGAACGAAAAAUUUAGAUAGUACAGGAUACAGCACAAAGCGUUCCUUAUUAUGUAUGAUCUGACACCAUGACGUAGCAUCAUUCCACCAUCUUCUUCUCUUCCAAAUAGGUUUACAAGUUGCACAUGUGGAGACCAGUAACCACAGCAAAGCCUCAAUUCUACUCAACAAGAAUAUUUGUCAAACCUGAAUCAACAAAAACUGUUAAGUGAUUAGUGCAUGACAUGAGAUACGGCUACAAAAAUGAUAAGCUUGUAAGGAGCUAGUUUCAUAAGCUGGUUUUGAAAGCGAACAUAGUAGGUGAAAAGAAAUAAUAGAAUAAUGCACCUGCCUCGUCUCUCCAAAACAUCUCUGUAGACAAUGUUCUUGGUGCUUUUCCCGGAUUUAUCAACAUCCUUGUUUGGCUUGGCCAAAAUCUGUGUCGUAUCUCUCGACACUCCUCUUGACAAUGCAACAUAUAGCUGCCCAGUGAGAAUACUGGCUCGGGAAGGUAAAUGCCGACAUUUGGGAUGGUCUGACCCUGUGCCUUGUUAAUUGUCAUGGCAAAACUCAGGCGGAUGGGGAACUGUUUUCUCUUAAGUUUGAAAGGAAGUGAGAUGUCCUCUGAGGGUGACAUAGGGAUCCUAGGUAUAAACACCCUCUUUCCAGCAUGCUGACCACCAACAAUCUCCGCAUCGAUUGCAUUAUCCUGAAAGGCUCUGAUCAUAAGCCGUGUCCCAUUGCAUAGACCAUUAUGAGGGUCGAGGUUCCGGAGCAGAAUGACCGGACAGUUGACCUUUAAUUUCAAAACAUGCGGGGGCAAGCCAUUUGGUGUGAUUGAGUUCAAAAAAUCAAUUGUGUAAUUAUUCUGCAAGUCAUCCUCAAUUGAGUCAAAACUAUGGUAUAACCUUUCUUCGCCUGGAAACCUGGAGAUCAUCUUGUCAUUCAGGUCAUCGACAUGAUCGUUCUUGGUCGAAAGAAUAGCACGUGCACUCAUGUACUCUCUCGAUCUAGCAUUGGCCUGCAAAGAUGGGAAGACAUCUUCGAUGAGCAUGUUAAUAGCUUUUUCAUCCUCGGUAUAGCCAAUGACAAUCUCGUCAGGGAGACGGACAUAAUCGUCGCUAAUUGUCUCUUCAGUUCCAUUGCCUAUCCUUAGUAGGUAUUCUGAGAACCAAGGAUCAGCCUGCGCUCGCAUAUUGCGCGUGAGACGUAUCUUGCGGGUCUUCUCCCAAAGAUAGGAUCUCAGAAGUGUAGCAUCCGUGAUCUGUGCUCUUGUCCCACGUGUCACAACGGGUAGGACCUGCCUGAAAUCACCACCAAAGACAACAACCUUUCCUCCAAAUGGCAAAGAACAUUCCAUUAUAUCCUGUAGUGAUCUAUCAAGCGUCUCAACUGCUUGUCGUUUUGUCAUAGCGACUUCGUCCCAAAUUAUGUAUGUGUGAAUCAUGUAUGAUAGUUAAUAUGAGCCAGAAAUGACAACCAUAUGAACUGUUGCAUCUGUAGGCUUGAAGUGGCGGUCGUAACACAGUCAGUUGGGACGACUCAUUGGCAGAGUUGAUAUUAUUAACAUUUUCAUUGUUAGAGACGACAGUAUCUGGUGUUGUUAGUGAACAUGGACCAUGAAGUGGAGUCUGAUCACUCAUUACCACAUCAACAGGUAUGCCUGCAUCAAAAUUGUAUUACCAAAGCCAGUUGCUGGCACACAAGAGCCGGUAGUAUGUUUGGAUGUAGGAGAACACAUGACCUUCCACAACUGGUGCGUGUCGUUGCUGGGUGAUAGCAGACUGCGCACUGGGCAUAUCCAUAGUGUCAAAACCUGUCCAAAGGGACUUUUAAUUAACAUGAGUUUAGCUGUGAUUAAUGAAAUGUAUGAUAAAGAACAGAGAAAAUUGAGUAACCAGGCGACAUGGCCACGGGUGGCUUAGAUGGAGUGUUGGUUUCAUUUAAAACCGCGGACAUAGCUUUCUUACUAUCCCUUGCCUCCUUUCUUUUUUUCAAUAUUGCAUCCUUGUUUAGUGCAUACCUCUCCCUUUCCCUCUGUCUCUUUAGUUCUUUUGGAUCUGUUUUUUGACCUGCGAGGCAAUGACAUAGUCGGUACUUACAUGAUAUUAGUAGCUAAGAGUAGGUGAUAUCUGUAUUUACCUGAACUGUCGUUGUUCGUCAGGUCCUGAAAGGGAUUACGUACCCCACUACGCUGAGAUCCGGGCAUAUUGUCUUCUCAAUGAACACUUACUGACCCGUGCCUCAACUCAGUUUGCUAUGCAAAUCAUGAUGUACUGUAAGUAUGAAAUUACAGGUUGUCAGAUUAAAAGAACAAUU